rnacentral:lncRNA from 1 species
CAAAGGACACAGCCACAUGGGAGGACUACUACGUCGUCAAGAAUAGGUUCCCUGAUGCACCUACUUGGGGACAAGCAGCUUCUCUGGCCGGGGCAGAUGUCACGGCACACACAUGAGGAAGGGGACUAAGGCGCGUCUAGGAAGAGAAAGCGUAUUCUUAACAUUUAUGUAAUAGCUAGCUUAUGACAUGUGGGCCCUACGGGCAAGGCUCUGUAAGUCAUAUAACCUGAACUCUGGUUGUAAGAACGCAUCGCAUAUUUUAUUAUCGAAUACAAUACACCGGCGACAGAGAGGUUCCUCUGCACGGUGACCGUGCCCACGAUUUCCUCUCACGUCGACGGUGAACACCGGUGGCCACGGGUCUUAAUUUACUACCAAGUACAUAUUCGAGUGAUCAAAAGGUUCAAAUCACACCUAUUCAUUAUUCAGAUAACCUUUGACUGCAAAUCACUUAAUUUACUACCAACUACAUAUAUGUGUGACAUCUGUUGUUAAAUCACUCGGGUAUUCAAUAGUGUAUCCAAAUGGAUCUAUCUAUCUAUAUGAAAAAAGAAAGAAAAAAAUGGCAGACGCAGAUCCCUAUGAUUUACGGAAGGGAGGAGGACAGGGAGUCGUUCGUUCCGAUUUCCGGGCUAAUGCGCGUGAGAUUGGAACUGGAUUGGAUAGCAUUACACUUACACGGCUGUACCGGCGGGUGAAAUGGGGAUGUCAGUGUACUGAACAUUGGUGUCGCGGUGGUCAGGAACGUAUGCUUGGACGCCGGCGUGGGUAAGCAUGGCCCAGAUAUGCGUGAUGAACUCGCCGCCGUUUGCCAGCGCCAGCGCGUGCGCGUCCGGUCCCCCGGACGGCGAGCGGGCCACG